UUGAAGGACUGGGCAGGUGAUGGUGACAGCCAGCCCCCGUCACCUUUCACAAUCCUUCAUCU
rnacentral:pre_miRNA from 1 species